rnacentral:misc_RNA from 1 species
GAAAAAAAGAAAAGAAAAAAGGUAUUAUACACGCAGAACAAAGGGGCCUAUCCUAAGGUGGGGUUGGAGUUUCGAGUUUCGACUUUCAGUGAAUGACCCUUCCUGCACCUGACCUGCUAAUGCUAAUUCAAUCUGAGAAGCUGCUUUCGUCAAAAGACACCAGAAGAUCUAUCAGUAUCCAUAUCUCAGAAAAUUCAAGGUAAUUUAGUUAACCCUUUCUAGAUUCCAUUCCUCAAUUUUGUCUGAAUUUCCGGUUUUACCCUGCUUAGAUGCUGUUGGAACCAACUCUUCAUCAAUUUAAUUUGUCGUUUUAGGGUGAUAGAAAUUGAAUAAAAAAAGAAAAAGAAAAAUUGAAGUAUCGCUUUGCAAACUGAUCUGAUCAUUUCCAUGGCCGGGUCUUGCAAUUUCGAAUUGGAUCGAGCUAAUUUGAGAUAAGAAAUUCAUUUAUCGUGCCCGGAAUUAAAUUCCAAUAAUCCAUCCCUCUUCUUCCUUCUUCUUUGUUUGUUCAUCAGUUGUUCCCUGUCGCAAUUAUAGAGAAGUACAACAAGAAUAGAUAUGCAGAAGAGUGGUAGUGUCUCGAGGAAUACUAACGGCACUGUUACUGGUAUCAAUCAUAGUAAAUCUCUAUUUCAUCAGCAGUCUCUCAGGAGGUUGGGAUUGUGUUCCCAAAUAACCACGGCAGGGGGACAGCACUCGUCCCCAAUUGUUUUCCCCGAGAAACGUAGCAAAAAGGUCAAAGCCUCUUCCAAACCCGAUGAUCCAUUGGAAAUAGGCAAGGUACAAGAGCAUAGAAUAGACAUAAUAGGUGGAGGAGACGAGAAGUCUGAUUUGUUGGGAUGCGUUGUCUUCUCUGGCAAACUCAUUUUGGACAAGAGAAAGACCACCUUCCGUGAUAGUAGUCAUGCCAAAGAUGCACAACAGCAAAGUUCUAUAGACGUUUCCAACCAAGAAGCUCUCGAUGCUAAGCUUACCAGCAAGGCUUUAGUUUGGGGUUCUCACAUGCUGCAUCUUGAUGAUGUUAUUUCGGUAUCAUACCAUGUUGGUCUCAGGCAUUUUACUAUUCAUUCUUAUCCGAUUAAAAAGGGUUCUUGUGGUCUAUCUUGUUUUUUAAAACCUAAAAGAAUUCGCAAGGAUUAUCGGUUCUUAGCUUCUAGUGUGGAAGAGGCACUUCAGUGGGUUGGUGGAUUAGCAGACCAGCACUGUUAUGUGAAUUGUUUGCCUCAUCCUUUGGUUUCUUCAAAGAAGCAAGCUUCUUCGGAGUUACUUCCGACUGACACUCCUCCCGAGUUACUCUUCAAGUGUAAGAGUCCACCCAAAAUGCUCGUCAUCUUAAAUCCUCGUUCAGGAAGUGGACGAUCGAGUAAAGUUUUCCAUGGCAUUGUGGAACCAAUAUUUAAGCUUGCAGGGUUUAAAUUGGAGGUAGUCAAAACAUCAUCUGCAGGUCAUGCUAGGAAGCUUGCGUCUACCGUUGACAUCAGCACAUGCCCUGAUGGGAUUAUAUGUGUAGGUGGUGAUGGAAUUAUCAAUGAGGUUUUAAAUGGCCUACUUAGUAGAGAUAACCAGAAAGAAGGAAUUUCAAUACCAAUUGGUAUUAUACCGGCUGGUUCUGAUAAUUCACUAGUUUGGACAGUUUUGGGAGUUAGAGAUCCGGUUUCUGCUGCUAUUGCUAUUGUGAAGGGGGGUCUGACCGCUACGGAUGUCUUUGCUGUUCAGUGGAUUCAGACUGGUGUUGUUCACUUUGGGUUGACCGUUUCAUACUAUGGUUUUGUUGGUGAUGUGUUGGAACUUUCUGAGAAAUAUCAGAAGCGCUUUGGUCCAUUGCGUUAUUUUGUUGCUGGAUUUCUCAAGUUCUUAUGCUUACCAAAAUACAGCUAUGAAGUGGAAUAUCUUCCAGCAUCAAAGCAGCCCGAGCGAGAGGUAGUUGACAUGUCAGAUCUAUACACAGAUAUCAUGAGGAAAUCAAACACGGAAGGCAUGCCUAGAGCCUCUAGCUUAUCUAGUAUUGACUCAAUAAUGACUCCUAGUAGAAUGUCUGGAGGUGAGUUGGAUACAACCUGCAGUAGCACUCAUGCUAGCACUGAACCAUCUGAGUAUGUGCGUGGCCUAGAUCCAAAAGCAAAACGCCUGUCGUCUGGGAGGAGCAACGUAAUGGCAGAGCCAGAAGUUAUUCAUCCCCAGUUACCACUGUCAACAACUCCAAAUUGGCCCAGGACAAGGUCAAAGUCAAGGACAGAUAAAGGAUGGACUGGAUUGACCUCUACUCAUGAUCCCUCUCGAUGUUCUUGGGGUAAUGCGGCAACAAAUGAUAGAGAGGAUAUAUCUUCAACAUUGUCUGAUCCAGGUCCAAUUUGGGAUGCUGAACCAAAAUGGGAUAGUGAGCCUAAUUGGGAUUUAGAAAACCCUAUUGAAUUGCCAGGGCCAUCAGAUGAUGUAGAAGCAGGAAUAAAAAAGGAAGUUGUACCCAGGUUUGAAGAUAAAUGGGAAUUGAAGAAGGGGCAAUUUCUUGGCAUACUGAUCUGUAACCAUGCUUGCAGAACUGUUCAGAGUUCCCAGGUGGUAGCACCAAGGGCUGAGCAUGAUGAUAACACCAUGGAUAUGCUCUUAGUUCAUGGUAGUGGGCGACUAAGGCUAUUGAGAUUUUUCUUACUUUUGCAGAUGGGUCGACAUCUUUCCCUGCCAUAUGUUGAAUACAUCAAGGUGAAAUCUGUCAAGAUAAAGUCUGGGAAGCACACUCACAAUGGUUGCGGCAUUGAUGGUGAGCUUUUUCCUCUUAAUGGGCAAGUAAUCUCUUAUUUGCUGCCAGAACAGUGCAGACUCAUUGGUCGCUCCCCAAGCCAUCACAUAUAAAUACUUCGAGUUGCCUUUUGAACUCUUUGAAAGGUUCCAGGAGUAUUUACCUUCCAACUAUGGUUGAUGUAUGAAGAGCAUGUUUUGAGCAAGCAAGAAUAUGCUGUUUUUUUUUUUCCUAGCCCUUCACAGUAGUGCCAUUGCAUAUGUGAGGCCCUUGUAAAUGUUUUCUGAGGUUAUGUAUCAGUUGACUGUUGUUUAUUGUGCUCUCUCCUACUUUGUUUCAUUGUGUACCCUCCUUUCUUUUUUGUUGGCAUGAGCUGCUGACUGUAUUGAGAAAUUGUGUUUUCUAUUUUAGUUUCAUUUCCUUUCUGUUUCUCUUAUCAGAUUGAUUGACAAAUUAUAAUGCUAAUAUUGUAAAGCACCCUGGUGGAUUUGUUUAGAAUUCAGAUUUGCCAUUUUCCCGUGUCUUUUUUCUCUG